rnacentral:rRNA from 1 species
CCUACGGGAGGCAGCAGUGGGGAAUAUUGGGCAAUGGGCGCAAGCCUGACCCAGCAACGCCGCGUGAAGGAAGAAGGCUCUCGGGUUGUAAACUUCUUUUAUCAGGGACGAAGCAAGUGACGGUACCUGAUGAAUAAGCCACGGCUAACUACGUGCCAGCAGCCGCGGUAAUACGUAGGUGGCAAGCGUUAUUCGGAUUUACUGGGUGUAAAAGGAGUGUAGGCAGGAAAGCAAGUCAGAUGUGAAAACCAUGGGCUCAACCUGUGGCCUGCAUUUGAAACUGUUUUUCUUGAGUACUGGAAGGGCAGACGGAAUGCCUGGUGUAGCGGUGAAAUGCGUAGAUAUUAGGAGGAACACCAGUGGCGAAGGCAGUCUGCUGGACAGCAACUGACGCUGAGGCGCGAAAGCGUGGGGAGCAAACAGGAUUAGAUACCCCGGUAGUC